GGGCGAUUAGCUCAGAGGGAGAGCGCUUCCUUGACACGGAAGAGGUCGCUGGUUCGAUUCCAGCAUCGCCCA
rnacentral:tRNA from 1 species